GAUGAACGCUGGCGGCGUGCCUAAUACAUGCAAGUAGAACGCUGAAGGAGGAGCUUGCUCUUCUGGAUGAGUUGCGAACGGGUGAGUAACGCGUAGGUAACCUGCCUGGUAGCGGGGGAUAACUAUUGGAAACGAUAGCUAAUACCGCAUGACAACAGUUAUUGCAUGAUAACUGUUUAAAAGGGGCAACUGCUCCACUACCAGAUGGACCUGCGUUGUAUUAGCUAGUUGGUGAGGUAACGGCUCACCAAGGCGACGAUACAUAGCCGACCUGGGAGGGUGGUCGGCCACACUGGGACUGAGACACGGCCCAGACUCCUACGGGAGGCAGCAGGAGGGAAUCAUCGGCAAUGGACGGAAGUCUGACCGAGCAACGCCGCGUGAGUGAAGGAGGUUUUCGGAUCGUAAAGCUCUGUUGUAAGAGAAGAACGAGUGUGAGAGUGGAAAGUUCACACUGUGACGGUAUCUUACCAGAAAGGGACGGCUAACUACGUG
rnacentral:rRNA from 1 species